rnacentral:misc_RNA from 1 species
GCCCGAUAUCAUCCAAGGCCCCCUCGCGCGCAAUGACAUACUUGAUUCCGCGGGCUUCCGUCAAACUUCGCUGCGUCGCAAUGGCUCUGCCACUCUGAUGCGCGGCAAGUCUCCGACUUGCCGCUACGUGGCUCACUUAGUCUAACCGGUCUUUGACCGUGGCGGGUCGAAGACCCGAUCAAAAAGAAGGGUUCGCAGCCGGCAAGUCGGAGACUUGCCGCGCAUCAGAGUGGCAGAGCCAUCGCUUGAUGAGUCAAGUAAGUUAAGGCUCUCGCCCUCCUGACAGGAUCAGAGGAACCUCCAAAAAAUCCAGAUCAAAGUCCGGAAAAUGUCUGUUGAGGUAGGAAGGAGUUCAAAGCGUGUGUCGCUCUGGGGUAGCGCGGACCUUGCACGUGAAUGACGGGCAGGUGGCUUGGCGCCUCUCAAGGACCGGCAAAGCGUGAAAUGAGCAAGGAGAACCCUCAGCCAUGCGGUCGCGAUCUUCGUUCCUUAGAAACUUUUUGGAUUUCCGUUUGCUUCUGUUCCUCUGUCUCGGUCUGGCAUCUUUAGCUGUGGCCGUGGGCGCGCUGGCAAAGAACGGCGCCGCCAAUAAGGUUGAAGCACCACGCUUAUUAGCUCUGAUGGCGGGACAGCAUGAGCGUUCCCACGACGGCAUUUGGGAGCAUCUACCUGCGCCUGCGAGCUCAGGGGCGACAACUCAGACCUCACUAUCCCUUCAGCUGAACCAGGACGCGCUGCAGCGAAUUCUGCGCCAGGCGCCCAUGGAGUUCACCGACGCAGCUCGCACCUCCGCAACGGUGAUGAGCCUGCCGAUACCGAACGCCGGGUUUGAAAGGUUUCGGAUUGAAGAAUCGCCAAUCAUGGCGCCCGAGUUGGCGG